UAUAUGAUUUUUUUUUUGGCCUGUUCCCAUCUGCUAGGUACAGUACUUGUGCUAAUCAUGCCUAGUAUCUGAAAGAGAUACACCAACAAACCUAGAGACCUUGCAGAGCAAAUUCACAUGGGAAAGCAGGUUUAGGUUACGCCUGUGGUGAAAAAAAAACCAGCAAAAGCAGCUUGAUAGCAACAUGCGAUUGCAAUCUAGUAAGUGUAAUCUGAACAACGCCGAGUCAGAAGUGGGAGAAACUGACGCACUUCUUCCUAUGUCAUGCGCCUCAUCAUUAACGUUAUCAGUACAUGUGCUAGCAAUUUAAGGCAGUGCAAAUCAACAGAUGGAAUCCAAGCAUUUCUCACUUCAGCCAGACUUCAUCCUUCUUCCACGACAUCGAGUCUGACUAAAUAUUUCUUCUGGCUUCCUUUUGCUUUCUGUUACUUGCAUGAAAGAGAUUGCAUCAGGAUUUGCCGGUGUGUUAAAAGAUCUAGUCCUGCAAUUGGAUGGUGGCGAUGCAUUCAUGUUUAUGACAGCACGAACCAGCAUUACAGGGCAAUGCUUCUGGAAGUGAGGUCAUGUGUUAUGCUUUGUAGAGCACAAUCCCCUUCAUCAAGAAGUGUCUAAUCCAAAUCCAUGUUAAAGACAGAAGAAUAUCUGUGACCUGAAAGUUUACCACCACCUCUCAUUUAUUUUAUUUUAUUUAUUGGUUAUUUAUGCCUGCCUUCCUCCCACUUAUCUUAUCUGAACAGCAGAUUUUGUAGGCAUGCAACAUACAACUCAUCUGGUUGGAGUCUUUCCUAUUAUGGUAAUUUAUCCUGCAGUUCUAAUUAAGCUACAACAAUUGCUUCUCAAUUUGAAUCUAUUCAUAUAAAUUAGUGGGUAAUGACACUUAAAUAUCUAGCUAACCCAAUACCUCCCACGUCCUAUCCACAUGAGGUAAGCUACAUGGAAAAAUAUAAUUAAUCUUCCAUCAGACCUAGGUGAGAUAACUUAGGACACCUUCCCUUCCUCAAAUAAACACAGAUGUCAUUUCA
rnacentral:lncRNA from 1 species